CUUGACCUCAAAUCGAGUAGGACUACCCGCUGAACUUAAGCAUAUCAAUAAGCGGAGGAAAAGAAACUAACAAGGAUUCCCCUAGUAACGGCGAGUGAAGAGGGAAGAGCUCAAAUUUUGAAUCUGGCGUCUUUGGCGUCCGAAUUGUAAUCUAGAGAAGUGUUUUCCGUGACGGACCGUGCAUAAGUCUCCUGGAAUGGAGUGUCAUAGAGGGUGAGAAUCCCGUAUAUGGCACGGACUCCCGUUGCUCUGUGAUACACUCUCGACGAGUCGAGUUGUUUGGGAAUGCAGCUCUAAAUGGGUGGUAAAUGCCAUCUAAAGCUAAAUAUUGGCGAGAGACCGAUAGCGAACAAGUACCGUGAGGGAAAGAUGAAAAGCACUUUGGAAAGAGAGUGAAACAGUACGUGAAAUUGUUGAAAGGGAAACGCUUGAAGUCAGUCGCGCCGUUCGGGAUUCAGCCUUGCUUCUGCUCGGUUUACUUCCCGUUGGGUGGGUCAACAUCAGUUUCGGUCGGAGGAGAAAGGCUUGGGGAAGGUGGCAGCAUUCGUGCUGUGUUAUAGCCCCUUGUUGUAUACUUCGACUGGGACUGAGGAUCGCAGCACGCCUUUGGCCGGGGUUCGCCCACGUACGUGCUUAGGAUGUUGGCAUAAUGGCUUUAAGCGACCCGUCUUGAAACACGGACC
rnacentral:rRNA from 1 species